AGAGUGAACGCUGGCGGUAGGCCUAACACAUGCAAGUCGAACGGCAGCACAGUGGUAGCAAUACCAUGGGUGGCGAGUGGCGGACGGGUGAGGAAUACAUCGGAAUCUACCUUUUCGUGGGGGAUAACGUAGGGAAACUUACGCUAAUACCGCAUACGCCCUUCGGGGGAAAGCCGGGGAUCGCAAGACCUGGCGCGGAUAGAUGAGCCGAUGUCGGAUUAGCUAGUUGGUGAGGUAAUGGCUCACCAAGGCGACGAUCCGUAGCUGGUCUGAGAGGAUGAUCAGCCACACUGGAACUGAGACACGGUCCAGACUCCUACGGGAGGCAGCAGUGGGAAUAUUGGACAAUGGGCAAAGCCUGAUCCAGCCAUGCCGCGUGUGUGAAGAAGGUCUUCGGAUUGUAAAGCACGUUUAAGUGGAAGGAAGGUUGUAACCUAAGUACGUUGCUAACUUUGACGUUACCGACAGAAUAAGCACCGGCUAACUCGUGCCAGCA
rnacentral:rRNA from 1 species